UUCUCAAGGGUUACUUAAGUCAGUGGGGAUGGUUGGCUGAAUGACUAAGUACCUAGGGGAGUUGUUUUAUGUGUAAAGAAGCUGGACGCAGUAUAUGGCAGCUGGCCAUAGAUCGGACUCAGCUCAGUUCGAGUGUGACAGCUUGAUCAGCUGGUUUACGAGUUCAUUCAGCUAGAUUAGCUGGGCCGAUGAGCUAACAAGCUCCGUGGAUGUGGCUAAGGUAUGAUCUAGUAACUCUUACUUAGUUCUAGAUAGAAUUGACUAGGGGAAUGGAACCUCAGAUUUGUAUGACUUGAUUCGGGUCUAGGAUCGAUCUUUGAGCAAGCUGGUUGUUGAUUCGACCGGACGAGUACUAGAUUGGAUUUAGUCCAAUGGUUUAGUAGAUAUUAUUCCACUGUGCAUAAGUUGAAAUGAUCUAAACUAUGGAAUGACUAAGAUAGUCGUAAGCUAAGAUCUAGGUUAGCCCUCGCCUAUGGGCGAUAUUAUAGAUAAAGGGCAAAAAUAAUUUAGAGGUUUGGUCGUAGUAUGGACCGAGCGACAUGAGGCAUCGACCGCGGCCUAGUCGGCCGGGAUUGGGUCUUACAAGUUGGUAUCAGAGCAUGCUUGAUCCUGUUAAGGACAGUGCUCAAAGAUGUUGAGUUCCGAACCGAAAUUAUUUCUGAAAACUGAGAUGACUCGGAACCUUAGCUAUGGUGAGCCAAGAGAGAGUUGAGGUAAGAUUGGGUGUCAUGGUUGUGAACGGGAAAGUUCCAAGAUGAGCCGGUUUAGCCAAGAUGCACUCUCCAAGGGUAAGACCCUGAAAACAGAAAGGUUAGUUAUCUAGUUAUUUGGAAGUAGUAAACGGAUUGGACGAU
rnacentral:lncRNA from 1 species